AGAGUUUGAUCAUGGCUCAGAAUCAACGCUGGCGGCGUGCCUAACACAUGCAAGUCGAACGCGAAAGUGGAGCAAUCCAUGAGUAGAGUGGCAAACGGGUGAGUAAUGCUUUGGAAUCUUCCCAGUAGUGGGGAAUACCAGUCGAAAGAUUGGCUAAUACCGCAUACGUCUGUAAAGGGAAAGCGGGGGCUCGUAAGACCUCGCGCUAUUGGAUGAGCCAAAGUCGGAUUAGCUAGUUGGUGGGGUAAUGGCCUACCAAGGCGACGAUCCGUAGCUGGUCUGAGAGGACGACCAGCCACACCGGAACUGAGACACGGUCCGGACUCCUACGGGAGGCAGCAGUGGGGAAUAUUGGACAAUGGGGGAAACCCUGAUCCAGCGACGCCGCGUGUGUGAAGAAGGCCUGCGGGUUGUAAAGCACUUUUAGUGGGGACAAAAAGCUACGGACUAAUACUCUGUGGUCUUGAUUUAACCCAAAGAAAAAGCACCGGCUAACUCUGUGCCAGCAGCCGCGGUAAUACAGAGGGUGCGAGCGUUAAUCGGAAUUACUGGGCGUAAAGCGCGCGUAGACGGUUUUGUAAGUCAGAUGUGAAAUCCCUGGGCUCAACCUGGGAACUGCAUUUGAGACUGCAUGGCUAGAGUAUGGAAGAGGGAAGUGGAAUUUCCGGUGUAGCGGUGAAAUGCGUAGAUAUCGGAAGGAACACCAGUGGCGAAAGCGACUUCCUGGUCCAAUACUGACGUUCAUGUGCGAAAGCGUGGGGAGCAAACAGGAUUAGAUACCCUAGUAGUCC
rnacentral:rRNA from 1 species